rnacentral:rRNA from 1 species
CCGGUUGAUCCUGCCGGACCCGACUGCUAUUUGGGUGAGAAUAAGCCAUGCGAGUUGAAUGGGAUACCUAAAUUUCCCAUAGCAAACUGCUCAGUAACACAUGAUCAACUUACCCUAUAGAGAAAAAUAACCUCGGGAAACUGAGGAUAAUGUUUCAUAAUUGAAUUGGCUUGGAAAAGUUUUUCAAUGAAAAGGAUAAAAAAAAUGGUUUUUAUCUGCUAUAGGAUAGGAUCGUGUUCGAUUAUGGUUGUUGGUGAGAUAAUGGCUCACCAAGCCGAUAAUCGAUAGGGGCCGUGAGAGCGGGAGCCCCGAGAUGGGUACUUAGACAACGACCCAGGCCUUACGAGGCGCAGCAGGCGCGGAACCUCCGCAAUACACGAAAGUGUGACGGGGUUACCCAAAGUGUUCAAUAGAACUGUGGUAGGUGAGUAAUGUUCCCUACUAGAAAGGAGAGGGCAAGGCUGGUGCCAGCCGCCGCGGUAAAACCAGCUCUUCAAGUGGUCGGGAUAAUUAUUGGGCUUAAAGUGUCCGUAGCCGGUUUAGUAAGUUCCUGGUAAAAUCGGGUAGCUUAACUAUCUGUAUGCUAGGAAUACUGCUAUACUAGAGGGCGGGAGAGGUCUGAGGUACUACA